AUUUAGAUAGUUUAUAAUAAAACAAUGAUUUGUGGUAUCAUAAAAAUAAUAAAUUUAUUCUAAGUU
rnacentral:tRNA from 1 species